UAGUCCACGCCGUAAACGAUGAGUGCUAGACGUUGGAGGGUUUUCCUUCAGUGUUGAAGCUAACGCAUGAAGCACUCCGCCUGAGUAGUACGGUCGCAAGAUUAAAACUUAAAGGAAUUGACGGGGGCCCGCACAAGCGGUGGAGCAUGCGGUUCAAUUCGAUGCAACGCGAAGAACCUUACCAGGUCUUGACAUCCAGAGAACUUUCCAGAGAUGGAUUGGUGCCUUCGGGAGCUCUGUGACAGGUGCUGCAUGGCUGUCGUCAGCUCGUGUCGUGAGAUGUUGGGUUAAGUCCCGUAACGAGCGCAACCCUUGUCCCUAGUUGCUAGCAGGUAAUGCUGAGAACUCUAGGGAAACUGCCCGUGACAAGCGGGAGGAAGGUGGGGAUGACGUCAAGUCCUCAUGGCCCUUACACGCGGGGCUACACACGUGCUACAAUGGUAGUGACAAUGGGUUAAUCCUAAAAAACUAUCUCAGUUCGGAUUGUCGUCUGCAACUCGAC
rnacentral:rRNA from 1 species